UACGUAGGGGGCUAGCGUUAUCCGGAAUUACUGGGCGUAAAGGGUGCGUAGGUGGUUUCUUAAGUCAGAGGUGAAAGGCUACGGCUCAACCGUAGUAAGCCUUUGAAACUGGGGAACUUGAGUGCAGGAGAGGAGAGUGGAAUUCCUAGUGUAGCGGUGAAAUGCGUAGAUAUUAGGAGGAACACCAGUUGCGAAGGCGGCUCUCUGGACUGUAACUAACACUGAGGCACGAAAGCGUGGGGAGCAAAUAGG
rnacentral:rRNA from 1 species